rnacentral:rRNA from 1 species
CGGAUUGUAGUCUGCAACUCGACUACAUGAAGCUGGAAUCGCUAGUAAUCGUAGAUCAGCAUGCUACGGUGAAUACGUUCCCGGGUCUUGUACACACCGCCCGUCACACCACGAGAGUUUGUAACACCCGAAGCCGGUGGAGUAACCUUUUAGGAGCUAGCCGUCGAAGGUGGGACAAAUGAUUGGGGUGAAGUCGUAACAAGGUAGCCGUAUCGGAAGGUGCGGCUGGAUCACCUCCUUUCUAAGGA